AGUAGGUCAGCGCAGGGGUGACACGGAAUGGGAGCCGGCCGCGGAGGUGGUUUUCCGUGGUCAAGCACGCAGCCAGUCAUGUAGGCAAAUCCGCAUGGCGCGCAUGGCGAGGUGUGAUGAUGGGAGCCUUUUGGGCUCGAUAUCCGGUUGUCCAGGCCGUCGAGAAAAGCCUCGGCGUGAGGGCCAUGGCCGCCCGUACCCCAAACCGACACUGGUGGUCAGGUAGAGAAUACCAAGGCGAUCGAGCGAAUCCUGGUCAAGGAACUCGGCAAAUCACUCCCGUGCCUUCGGUAUAAGGGAGACCCGCUGGGGUGAACCGGCUAGCCCGGGGAGCUUUGGUGGGUGGCACAGACCAGGGGGUAGCGACUGUUUACCAAAAACACAGGUGCAUGCGAAGGCGAAAGCCGCUGUAUAUGCACUGACGCCUGCCCGGUGCCGGAAGGUUAAGAGGAUCCGUCAAUCCCUUCGGGAUGAAGCGGUGAAUUCAAGCCCCGGUAAACGGCGGUGGUAACUAUAACCAUCCUAAGGUAGCGAAAUUCCUUGUCGGGUAAGUUCCGACCUGCACGAAUGGCGUAACGACUUCCCCACUGUCUCGACCAGGAGCUCGGCGAAAUUGCAGUACGAGUAAAGAUGCUCGUUAAGCGCAGAAGGACGAAAAGACCCCGGGACCUUUACUAUACCUUGGUAUUGGCGUUAGGCGCGGAUUGUGUAGCAUAGGCGGGAGGCUUCGAAGCGGGUGCGCCAGCAUUCGUGGAGCCGCAAGGUGAAAUACCGCUCUGUUCUCGUUUGACGUCUAACCUCGACAAGUCAUCCUUGUCAGGGACAGUGCCUGGCGGGUAGUUCAACUGGGGCGGUUGCCUCCCAAAGAGUAACGGAGGCGCUCAAAGGUCCGCUCAGCCCGGUUGGCAAUCGGGUGUCGAGUGUAAUCGCACAAGCGGGCUUGACUGCGAGGACGACGGUCCGAGCAGGGACGAAAGUCGGAGAUAGUGAUCCGGUGCCGGCGCACGGGCGCGGCAUCGCUCAACGGAUAAAAGGUACCCCGGGGAUAACAGGCUGAUCAUUCCCAAGAGUCCAUAUCGACGGGAUGGUUUGGCACCUCGAUGUCGGCUCGUCGCAUCCUGGGGCUGGAGCAGGUCCCAAGGGUUCGGCUGUUCGCCGAUUAAAGCGGCACGCGAGCUGGGUUCAGAACGUCGUGAGACAGUUUGGUCUCUAUCCUCUGCGCUCGUUGGAAUCCUGAGGAGGCCUGCCCAUAGUACGAGAGGACCUGGGUGGACGAACCUCUGGUAUGCCGGUUGUCGCGCCAGCGGCACGGCCGGUUGGCUACGUUCGGGAGGGAUAACCGCUGAAAGCAUCUAAGCGGGAAGCCUGCUCCAAGAUUAGGAUUCC
rnacentral:rRNA from 1 species